UUUAUUGUGAGGGGGGCACCUCAAGGCAAAGAAUUCCAGAAGAAUGAACUGGACAUGGCUGAUCAAUAUCAAAUAGCUUGAUUUGUUUCAAGAACAACUUGUGUAUGCAAAGGACUACUUACAUACUAUAAGAAGCGAUCCAGGAGGGAAGUGGCAUGUCUUGACCUGAUUGAUUUUGAUCAUGAAGUGCCAAUGUUUGCUUUUAUUUUGCUGCAUUUUUUAUACUAUGAAUUCUC
rnacentral:lncRNA from 1 species